CGGCAACAGCUCAAAUUUGAAAUCUGGCCCUCGGGUCCGAGUUGUAAUUUGCAGAGGAUGCUUUUGGCGAGGUGCCUUCCGAGUUCCCUGGAACGGGACGCCAUAGAGGGUGAGAGCCCCGUCCGGUCGUGUCACCAAGCCUCUGUAAAGCUCCUUCGAC
rnacentral:rRNA from 1 species